GUUACUGCGAAGGGGGGACGGAGAAGGCUAUGUUGGCCGGGCGACGGUUGUCCCGGUUUAAGCGUGUAGGCUGGUUUUCCAGGCAAAUCCGGAAAAUCAAGGCUGAGGCGUGAUGACGAGGCACUACGGUGCUGAAGCAACAAAUGCCCUGCUUCCAGGAAAAGCCUCUAAGCAUCAGGUAACAUCAAAUCGUACCCCAAACCGACACAGGUGGUCAGGUAGAGAAUACCAAGGCGCUUGAGAGAACUCGGGUGAAGGAACUAGGCAAAAUGGUGCCGUAACUUCGGGAGAAGGCACGCUGAUAUGUAGGUGAAGUCCCUUGCGGAUGGAGCUGAAAUCAGUCGAAGAUACCAGCUGGCUGCAACUGUUUAUUAAAAACACAGCACUGUGCAAACACGAAAGUGGACGUAUACGGUGUGACGCCUGCCCGGUGCCGGAAGGUUAAUUGAUGGGGUCAGCGCAAGCGAAGCUCUUGAUCGAAGCCCCGGUAAACGGCGGCCGUAACUAUAACGGUCCUAAGGUAGCGAAAUUCCUUGUCGGGUAAGUUCCGACCUGCACGAAUGGCGUAAUGAUGGCCAGGCUGUCUCCACCCGAGACUCAGUGAAAUUGAACUCGCUGUGAAGAUGCAGUGUACCCGCGGCAAGACGGAAAGACCCCGUGAACCUUUACUAUAGCUUGACACUGAACAUUGAGCCUUGAUGUGUAGGAUAGGUGGGAGGCUUUGAAGUGUGGACGCCAGUCUGCAUGGAGCCGGCCUUGAAAUACCACCCUUUAAUGUUUGAUGUUCUAACGUGGACCCGUGAUCCGGGUUGCGGACAGUGUCUGGUGGGUAGUUUGACUGGGGCGGUCUCCUCCUAAAGAGUAACGGAGGAGCACGAAGGUUGGCUAAUCCUGGUCGGACAUCAGGAGGUUAGUGCAAUGGCAUAAGCCAGCUUGACUGCGAGCGUGACGGCGCGAGCAGGUGCGAAAGCAGGUCAUAGUGAUCCGGUGGUUCUGAAUGGAAGGGCCAUCGCUCAACGGAUAAAAGGUACUCCGGGGAUAACAGGCUGAUACCGCCCAAGAGUUCAUAUCGACGGCGGUGUUUGGCACCUCGAUGUCGGCUCAUCACAUCCUGGGGCUGAAGUAGGUCCCAAGGGUAUGGCUGUUCGCCAUUUAAAGUGGUACGCGAGCUGGGUUUAGAACGUCGUGAGACAGUUCGGUCCCUAUCUGCCGUGGGCGCUGGAGAACUGAGGGGGGCUGCUCCUAGUACGAGAGGACCGGAGUGGACGCAUCACUGGUGUUCGGGUUGUCAUGCCAAUGGCACUGCCCGGUAGCUAAAUGCGGAAGAGAUAAGUGCUGAAAGCAUCUAAGCACGAAACUUGCCCCGAGAUGAGUUCUCCCUGACCCUUUAAGGGUCCUGAAGGAACGUUGAAGACGACGACGUUGAUAGGCCGGGUGUGUAAGCGCAGCGAUGCGUUGAGCUAACCGGUACUAAUGAACCGUGAGG
rnacentral:rRNA from 1 species